AACGCACCUUGCGCUCCUUGGUAUUCCGAGGAGCAUGCCUGUUUGAGUGUCAUGAAAUUCUCAACCCUUUCAGCUUUUUGAGUUGGCUGGGCUUGGAUUGUGGAAGUUGCUGGUUCUUGUUAAUCAGCUCUUCUCAAAUAUAUUAGCAGUCCUUUGCUGGCGAUCAUUGGUAUGAUAAUUAUCUAUAUCACUGAAAGACAGCCUCCCUAGUGGAGAGGUUCCGCUUCUAAUCGUCUUUAUAAGACAAUUUUGAUAAAUUUGACCUCAAAUCAGGUAGGACUACCCGCUGAACUUAA
rnacentral:misc_RNA from 1 species